rnacentral:rRNA from 1 species
GAAUAUUGGACAAUGGGGGGAACCCUGAUCCAGCCAUGCCGCGUGUGUGAAGAAGGCCUUUUGGUUGUACAGCACUUUAAGCGAGGAGGAGGAGCUCUUGGUUAAUACCCAAGAUGCUUGGACGUUACUGUCAGCAUACGCACAGGCCAACGAGGUUCACGCAGCCGCGGUAAUACAGGGGGUGCAAGCGUUAAUCGGAUUUACUGGGCGUAAAGCGCGCGUAGGUGGCCAAUUAAGUCAAAUGUGAAAUCCCCGAGCUUAACUUGGGAAUUGCAUUCGAUACUGGUUGGCUAGAGUAUGGGAGAGGAUGGUAGAAUUCCAGGUGUAGCGGUGAAAUGCGUAGAGAUCUGGAGGAAUACCGAUGGCGAAGGCAGCCAUCUGGCCUAAUACUGACACUGAGGUGCGAAAGCAUGGGGAGCAAACA